CGCUACAGGCUGAAGCGCUAGAAACCCUAGCCACCCUAUUUCUACCGGCCAUCAGAGGUUUUCGUCUUCGAACCAGGGCAUCUCUCUCGUUGCCCCACGCUGCCGUCGCCAUGGGUCGCAUGCACAGUCGCGGAAAGGGUAUCUCAUCGUCGGCGCUGCCGUACAAGAGAACUCCUCCGAGUUGGCUUAAGAUAUCCGCUGCAGAUGUGGAGGACAACAUCUGCAAGUUUGCGAGAAAGGGGCUGAGUCCGUCGCAGAUUGGUGUCGUUCUUCGUGAUUCUCACGGCAUCGCCCAGGUCAAGAGCAUCACCGGGAGCAAGAUCCUCAGGAUCCUCAAGGCUCAUGGUCUUCAACCGGGUACUCCGGAGGAUCUGUACUGCAUGAUUAAGAAAGCAGUGGCCAUAAGGAAACACUUGGAGAGGAACAGGAAGGACAAAGACUCCAAGUUCAGACUAAUCAUGGUGGAGAGCAGGAUCCACCGCUUGACCCGAUACUACAAGAGGACCAAGAAGGUCGACCCAACCUGGAAAUAUGAUGCCAAGACUGCGAGCACUGUCGUGGCGUAGGAUGCUUUUCUGAACUGCUUGAAGGCUCCAUGAAGAACAGAUGCUUUGUUUUGUUCUCGGGAGAAGAAAUAGCCUUGUGAUGCUCUAAAUUGACUUUUUGAUCGAACUUCACCUUUGUUUUUCUAAGGUGAUGAGUAGUAUUUUAUUGUGCUGAAGAUGAUAAUAGUGGUGAUUAUCUUCGAAAAUGAAUUUGUUGAAGAAAGAUUAUAAGAAAAGGUUGAAGGUGACAUAAA